AUGUACAAAAAAUCAAAAGCAAAAAAUGGCUUACCUGUUCUCUGGAGACAGUGGGGAUAGUGACAGUGCAGUGGUGCCUACUCGUACUGGCCUACGAACCUAUAUCCCUACUAGCUAUCUAUUUUAGCUAUCUAGGUAGCCCAGUAUAGCUAUAUAUAUACUAUAUCAAGCUAGCUACCUAGAUGAUGAAGGUGCCGGCUUUCUGUUACUGGUUUGGGUAUUUUUUUUGUGCAGGGAUGUCUGCAGAGAUGAAGGCUAUGGCGAUGACAAUUCUCUAUGUAUGCUGUAUUUCUUUCCUCUCAUUCUCUCUGUGUAUUAUUUCUUUGCUCUGGGUUUUUUGCUCUGUUUUCUCUGCUUUUUUUCUCUAUUUUUUUGGGUUGAUUUUUCGGUCUUUGCUCUGUUUUUGGGUUCCUUUUUCCGCCUCUGGUGUGCUUUGCUCUGUUUUUGGGUUCCUUUUUCCGCCUCUGGUGUGCUUACGUUCUCUGCCUUGGUUCCUCAUGUGGGCCUAGGCUUUUUUCUCUAUCUUAAAAAUAAGGAUCAUUUCGAAAGUAAGGAUUAUCUCAAAGAUAAGGAUAGAAUGGCAAAAGCACAUUAUAGUCCUUAAUUUUCACGCAAGUUGACAAAUCACAUUUUUCAUCGAAAUAAAUCUCUGGUCUUUUGAUUUUACAUUUUAAACCCUAUAAAAAUUAAAUUAAAAGCCAAUGGGCCAAAAUUGGGUUAUGACAGUUGCCCCCUCUUUAUAAUAUUUACUAUGCAAUGAUAUUAUAAAAUUUCAUUUUCUUUUAGCUUUGUGUAAUAAAUUUAUAAAGAAAAUUAGAUACAGAAAGAACUUUUGCUUCUUUUUUAUUUUUUUUUUAAGUUUUGAAAACCCUGAAAAUAGUAGAUUGACACAUGACCUUUACAGAGAGAUGUAGAAAUCAAGAAACAAAUCAUUUGGGAGACGACCCCUUUUUUUUUUGAAAUGGAUCAAAUUGUUUUAGGCAACCUGCCCAAUGAUAAAAGAAACGCGAAAAAUCGCGAGUGGUCUAAUUGUUCCAGGCGACCUGCCCAAUGAUUGAAAAAUACGAGGAUUUUUUUUUGUGAUGGUAUAUUGUAAUGGGUUACCGGCCCAGAUGGUCACAUUGUAAUAGGUUACCUGCCCAGUAUAGGAUGGUAUAUUGUAAUGGGUUACCGACCCAGAUGGUCACAUUGUAAUGGGUUACCUGCCCAGUAUAGGAUGGUAUAUUGUAAUGGGUUACCGGCCCAGAUGGUCACAUUGUAAUGGGUUACCUGCCCAGUGGAUGGUAUAUUGUAAUGGGUUACCUGCCCAGUAUAGGAUGGUCACAUUGUAAUGGGUUACCUGCCUAGUUGGUCACAUUGUAAUGGGUUACCUGCCCAGAUGGUCACAUUGUAAUGGGUUAUCGGCCCAGUUGGUCACAUUGUAAUGGGUUACCUGCCCAGUGGAUGGUAUAUUGUAAUGGGUUACCGACCCAGAUGAUCACAUUGUAAUGGGUUACCUGCCCAGUUGGUCACAUUGUAAUGGGUUACCUGUCCAGUGGAAAAAUACAAGGAUUUUUUUUAGACAUGAUAGGGCUCGAAGGCGCAUUAUUCAAUAGAUGGAAGCUCGAAGGAAAUGAGGGCUUGAAGGCGCACUCAAAAGAAGGUAGGAUAGGAAAUGCACUGCCUUUGAUGGUCGAGGGCUCGAAGGCGCGCUCGAAUGGAGGUAGGAUAGGAAAUGCACUACCUUUGAUGGUCAAGGGCUCGAAGGCGCGCUCGAAAAGAAAUAAGACAAGGGCUCGAAGGUGCGCUCGAAUUGAGGUAGGAUAGGAAAUACACUACCUUUGAUGGUCGAGGGCUCAAAGGCGCGCUCGAAAAGAAAUAAGACGAGGGCUCGAAGGCGCGCUCGAAUGGAGAUAAGACGAGGGCUCGAAGGCGCGCUCGAAAAGAACUCAAAAGGAGGUAGGAUAGGAAAUGCACUACCUCAGGUUGUCGAGGGCUCGAAGGCGCGCUCGAAUGGAGAUAAGACGAGGGCUCGAAGGCGCGCUCGAAAAGAACUCAAAAGGAGGUAGGAUAGGAAAUGCACUACCUCAGGUUGUCGAGGGCUCGAAGGCGCGCUCGAAAAGAACUCAAAAGGAGGUAGGAUAGGAAAUGCACUACCUCAGGAGUGGAAACUGAAAGGUGGUGGAAAAAUAGAGAGAUUUUUUCAGGUGGCCUAAUUCUCAUGGGCGGCCUGCCCAGGUUGAAAAAUUCUCAAAAGUGAAAAUUUUUUCAAAAGCAAUUUCAAUGUUCGCCAUUUCAAGUUGGCCUUCCGCUUGAUGGAUUCCGUCAGAAUUUUUUUCUAAUAAAAUUUGCAAAACUCAUCGUCCAAUGUCUCAAAGUUUAAAUGAUAUGCAUGCAUCUUUACCUGAUUUGAAAUGUAGGCCCCCCCAUUUCUUCUUAGUCUUCUCGUGGCUUGGUUGGUGAGAUCUUGCUAUCUGAUUUGAGUCAUGUUUGUCGUUUGGCUUUCUAGCCCACUCGAGUUAGCCCAUAUAAGACUUUUUCCAGAUUUGUUUGCACAACUCAGCCUUUGUGGUGCCCAUCGUGACCCACUUGCUUGCUAGAGAUUUUCUGUCUCGUCAAAUAGUUUGAGGGGAUCAUUCAUUACUCCUCGUCUCACUGAUAAAAAUAUUUGGUGUCACUUGCUGAAAGGAUCAAACUGUCUUUCGUAAACCAAAAUGCCCCCUUGUCUUGUUGUAGGAAAUGUUCCUUUUUUUUUUUAGAACAGAUAGAUUUUUCUUAAGCACAAUAUUGCCCCCUUGUACUGGUUAUUGCCCCCAAGUGUGCCCUGUCAGCGACUUAGACAAAUAAUGGUUUUAAGAGACCAUUCUCUCAUUUCUCUCCUUUUCAGUUUGGUGGAGGAAUAUGGGUUUAGAAUGAAUCUUGAAAUCUUGAUCUUGCAUUUUGAAAACAAAAAAUUAUUUCGAUGUGAGUCUAAAACAAUUUGCUUUUGAAAUCUUGCAACUCCUUGGUUAUUUUCUUUCUUGGAAAAGAGAUUAUUUGCUCUUGUGUUUGGCAAUGAGAUCUUUGAUGAAAAUACAUCAUAAGAUGACCUUUUGUUUUUAUAGGUUUUCAAAGUGGAGGGCUCGAGAAAGAGCUCGAGGUUUUGUAUGAGAAAAACUUGUCUCUUUUUUUAACAUUUAUUUUUAUCAGCAUGAAUAAUAAUGAGUAGUUUAUUCUUGAUGUCAUGAAUCUUAUGAAAAAGUAUUCUUUGCAUUUUAAGAGCAUUGUUUAUUGUUCUAGGUUGCUUGCUUGCUUGAUUAGAAAGGACUUCUACAGGCACGUAACGUAGGCUAUAAUUUUUGGCUAUGAAAGAAAAGGAUUCAUAAGGCUCAAAGAGUGUUUCAGGGUUUCAAAUACUGAAGAUCACGAUCAACAGUUUGACUCUUGACGUCAUUCAUAUUUUCUUUUGCCGCUCUUCUUUGAUUUGCCCUUUUUUCUUUUUUCUUUUUCAUUGCUUUGCUAGAGCAUACUCACUUUAUCUUGGUUAUCAUUUUUUCUUGUGAUUUGGGCAUGCCCCCUAGCAUUUGAGUUUCUUGGGCUCUUUUGCCUUUUGGCUUUCUCACGGCUUUAUUAUCUUUCUUGAUCAUUGAAAUUUCACUUGCCCCCAUGUGAGGUGUGAUCCUAGUCGGGAUUUUUUCAUGAAAGAAAAAUUAUUCAGGCUCAAAAAGGGAUCGCAAGGGAUGUACUUAUUUCAGAAUGUGAAAGGAAUAACAAAGAUGGCCUUUCCUCAUUUCAAGCACAAGCAGUUAAGAUCAAUAAACUUUGACCUCAUCUAGUGUGAUGGUUUGGUCUUUGCAAAGAUGCAUUUCAAGGGUCAUGAGCAACAAGUUCACUACAUACCAUUAUUCAUACAUUUAAAAACACAUGAUUCAAGAGUCGUGGGGUAAGGGUGUUUAUUUAUUUCUUUUUUCUUUUUUUUGUUUAUAAUUUAGUCACCUCAUUGAUGGAGUUGCUUGAUUCACACGUAGAAUGUUAAAAAUAUGGUUUUUGAAUAAACAUCAAGUUAUUUUCGGAAUCAAAAUGCAAGAUCAAUUUUUUCAAAACUCUAAUAGGGAAACUGAUUUUUGGUAACAGAGACGAAUUGCGUCUAUGAGAUCGCACAAGGCUUCAAAGAUGUGUUUGUGAGUCUUUAUAAGAAAACUCUCUCAGAAAAAUGAAUAAUGCUAAUCGUAAACACGAUUGAAUGACAAACUCAUUAUUUUCAUUGAAACUUUGGAAAAUAAGUUCAACAAGAAAGAACUCAUGACAACAUCUUGGGCUAUGAAUACUGGCAUGAUAACAUAUAAAGGGGCUAAACAUUUAGCAAUCAUUAAUUGGAAUUUAUGGAAUCAUUUCAAGGGCAUCUUUCUUGACAAGGGCAUCUUUUCAACAGUCAAUUAAAGUCAUAUGUAGAUCAUUCUUGACCUAAUAUCACCAUAGCUUUAUCUUCAAGAUAGUUGAUUUCUAGGAGUUGGUGUGAAGUAAUUAGCUAUAGGAACGAUAAGUGCCUUAGCAACCACCUUCAGUGUCCUUUCCCUUUUCAUUGAAACCGUUCUUCUCAAUUGGGUUAGCAAUCUUACCUAACCCAAUGGCUUGUUCAAUCCUCUCAGCUACAACAACCAGGUCAGUGAAAUGUUGUGCAGAGCUUCUAACCAAGUAUUCAAAGUACGGAGCUUUAAAGGUGUUGGAAAAUAAACUGAUCAUCUCUUUUUCCAACAUGGGAGGAUUAACUUGUGCAGCUACCUCACUCCAUCUCCGGGUGUAUUUCCUUAUAGACUCCUUGUUGUCCUUCUCCAUAGCUUGCAAAUUUAACCGAUCAGGGCCCACGUCUAUAUUGAACUUAUAUUGCCUCAUAAAGACAUCCACUAAAUCCUUCCAUUUUUUAACCUUGGUAUUGUCCAACCGCAUAUACCAAGUGAGGGCAACAUUACUCAGACUGUCUUGAAAGAAAUGAAUCAGCAGUUUCUCAUCAUCAACCACCUCAACCAUUUUGUUGCAGUAUGCUUUGAGAUGAGUUAUAGGGCAUUGAGUUCCCAUAUAUUUAACAAAUUCGGGCACUCUAAAAUUUUUGGGAAUGACAACGUUGGGCACCAAACACAUCUCAACAGCCUUUAUAGGAUCAUAUAGGUGAAUUCCAUCAAAUGCCCUCAUCCUUUGCUCUAGGGCAAUGAAUUUGUUCAGAUCAUCUUCUUUUAUCAUCUUGCCUUUUUGAUAUUCCUUCUCUAUAGAAUCAAUGGUGGACGAAACUCUCGCAGGGUAUGCUGGCUGGAAAUGCAUAGGUUGUUGAAAUUCAGAUGACACCCUAUUUGCCCCCAGAUUAUGUGGAUCGAAAUGAGUUACAUGCAUAUCUUCAGGCUGAGCUAUAAGUGUUGCUUUUCUGGAUUUAUUUCUCAAGGCCUACUCGAGUAGACUAGUAAGCCUUGCGACUUCUUCUUUAAGAUUGUCCAACUCUUUUUGAUGUUGGGCUUCUAACUGGGCUCUUUCUUUGUUUUCCAUUUUUCUUUUUCUCGAACGAGUGUUAUAAAUGGGUUUCAAUAGGGAACCUAUAUUUCAACCUGCUAAAUGUAAAUCAUGCAAUUAUGCAAAAAAAAUGCUGAAGCAAUUAAAAAAAAAAUGCAUAUGAAAUGUAGACUCGCCCUUCACGGGAUGACAACCUAAUAGGAAGAUCCUAAUUGUUGAGUGCAUCAAAGGGUUGGUCAUUAUCUAGUUUAAAAGGGUCUCUCACAUGCUCAGUGAUCGUCCAUGAAAGGUCGAUAUGAGGCUUACAAGUAGUGUGAAAAUAGAGGCCCUGAGUAAUAUCAGUUUGGCAUAUCAACCACUUCCAAGUAAACAAUCAAGCGAGAGUUGGAUGGUUUCACGAGUCUUACCCAGGCUAAAGCCGUUGGGGUACCAUUACUCCCCCACCUAUACUAGAUUUUAAGGUGUGUGCUCUUAACGUGAUGCAUGACAAUAUAAACAAGGAUGCAUGCUAAAGCAGUAAAUGCAAGCAAAAUACACAAAUAAACACAACAAAGAAAAUAGCAAUAAUAAACAAAAGGCAAAGCUUAGUCCAUUAGUCCCCAAUGGAGUCGCCAUUCUGUCGCACCCGACAUCGCGGCGGCCUUAAAAAUAAUUAUUUCAUGGAAAAGAACGGAUUUCUGGCAUCCUGUUCUUUAAUGGGGAAUGGUCUUGUUUAAGGAGUCGCCACCUAGUAUUAUGGUCACUAGGAACCCUAACUGGUCAACAAAGAUUCUAUGGUUCGGGACUGGUUACGUAAAAGGGAAGAUAUUAUCACCCCUUAAACGUUCUGCCUGAGGCAGACUGCAUUGCUGGUUUUGCCUUAAAUUGCUAAAUGUUUAUUAGUUUAGGCUAUGAUAAUUUUGCGUGUAAUAUUCCUGACUCUGGCGUCAAUGAAUAUUUAACUACGGAUAUUUUCAACUCUGGCGUUGGUAAAUAUCACGUAGCUAUAAAAACAAAAUAAAUUUAAAUCAAAAUUUUUUUUUAUUCCCGACUCUGGCGUCAGUGAAUAAACAAAUCAAAUAAAUUUAUUUUUAAGCAUACACAUUUUUUAUGUAACUAAAUAAAAGUAAAAUACAAUAAAAUAAAAUAAAUUUACAUCAGUAUCUUUAUUCCUGGCUCUGGCGUCAGUGAAUAAACCAAUAAAUUUACUUUAUUUUAUUUUAUUUUUGCAUGCAUAUUUUUUAUUUUUUAUGUAAUUAAAUAAAAUACAAUAAAAUAAAUUUGAAUCAAUAUUUUUAUUCUGAUUCUGGCGUCAAUGAAUAAAAAUAACAAAUUCAUAUUUAUUUUUUUUAUUUAUACAUACACACAUCCUUUGUUUUUUUUUUAUUAUUGUUUUUUAUUUUUUAUUNNNNNNNNNNNNNNNNNNNNNNNNNNNNNNNNNNNNNNNNNNNNNNNNNNNNNNNNNNNNNNNNNNNNNNNNNNNNNNNNNNNNNNNNNNNNNNNNNNNNCACGCGUGGAGUGGCUCCACGCGUGCAUGCAUAGUGCGAAGGUAAUUAAUUUACCUUCGCACUGUGCAACAUUACAUUCAAAAUGAAUGUACAAAAAAUCAAAAGCAAAAAAUGGCUUACCUGUUCUCUGGAGACAGUGGGGAUAGUGACAGUGCAGUGGUGCCUCUCGUCUGCCUACGACCUUUCCCUCUGCUUCUUUUUGCUUCUGUGCCCGUAUGCUUUAUUCUUUCAGCUGCUCCUGAGAUGAUGAUGAAGGUGCCGGCUUUCUGUUACUGGUUUGGGUGUUUUUUUUGUGCAGGGAUGUCUGCAGAGAUGAAGGCUAUGGCGAUGACAAUUCUCUAUGUAUGCUGUAUUUCUUUCCUCUCAUUCUCUCUGUGUAUUAUUUCUUUGCUCUGGGUUUUUUGCUCUGUUUUCUCUACUUUUUUUCUCUAUUUUUUUG
rnacentral:lncRNA from 1 species